AGCGAACGCUGGCGGCAGGCCUAACACAUGCAAGUCGAACGAACCUUUCGGGGUUAGUGGCGGACGGGUGAGUAACACGUGGGAACGUGCCUUUAGGUUCGGAAUAACUCAGGGAAACUUGUGCUAAUACCGAAUGUGCCCUUCGGGGGAAAGAUUUAUCGCCUUUAGAGCGGCCCGCGUCUGAUUAGCUAGUUGGUUGAGGUAAUGGCUCACCAAGGCGACGAUCAGUAGCUGGUCUGAGAGGAUGAUCAGCCACAUUGGGACUGAGACACGGCCCAAACUCCUACGGGAGGCAGCAGUGGGGAAUCUUGCGCCAUGGGCGAAAGCCUGACGCAGCCAUGCCGCGUGAAUGAUGAAGGUCUUAGGAUUGUAAAAUUCUUUCACCGGGGACGAUAAUGACGGUACCCGGAGAAGAAGCCCCGGCUAACUUCGUG
rnacentral:rRNA from 1 species